GCAUGUUUAAACAAGUGAAACUGCGAGCUACUGCUCACUGAUGAUACCCCCGCCGCAAGUGGAUAAUAUUAAUAGUGUAAAAAUAUGCAAGUGUUCGGUAAACAGGAAGUUGUCGAGUGAUGAAUCUGAAAACGCAUCACACGGUAUAGCUGACUUAUAUAAAUCCUGAAACCAAAUUUCAGAAAUCCUUGUAUUGUAGUUCCUGAGAAAAAUGUGACGAAAAUUUUCAACUUGGAAAAUUUUCAACUUGGCUAUCAUGUGUAAAUUCAUACAAGUGUUCGGUAAACAGGAAGUUGUCGAGUGAUGAAUCUGAAAACGCAUCACACGGUAUAGCUGACUUAUAUAAAUCCUGAAACCAAAUUUCAGAAAUCCUUGUAUUG
rnacentral:lncRNA from 1 species